GCCGGGGUGGCGGAACUGGUAGACGCGCCGGAUUCAAAAUCCGGUUACGAAAGUAGUGUCGGUUCGAUUCCGACCCUCGGUACCA
rnacentral:tRNA from 1 species